UAUGAUCAUAUCUUCAAAAGUAAAUUAUGAGAAAACGACAAAUUAUUGUAAUUAUUAGGAAACUUUUACUGCCCUACCCAUCAUAUCCUUAUUUCAGCGUUACCUUCUUCAGUCCUCCUAUUAUAAAUACAUUUGAAAUCCAAACUAAUUCUCAUCCACAUCCCAUCUUCAAAUACUUUUCAUUGUUCCUAUUUGCAAAGAAAAAAUGAAUUCCAAGCCUUUCAUCCUCCUCGGUCUUCUGUUCGCCAUCGUCGUCCUUUGUUCAAUGGAUGUAAACACAGUUACGGCUAGGGAUGUAAAUUUCAAAGAAGCUAUUAUGGAAACUGAUGAACUUGAUGACGAUGUCAACCGCCAUGGUUAUGGAGGAGGACACGCUAGAAUCCUCCAACAAUGCCUCCAUGGUUGCAACACCGGUUGUUGUAGCUGCGUCCGCGGUCGUUGCGUCCGGUGCUGCUAGAUUGGCUGGUGAGACCGUGGUUGAUAUAGAAACCUCAAGAUAAACGUGUUUUGUUGCUUCAAAUAAUGGCUUUGAUUUCUCAAGUUGAUAUGUAUAAAAUAUAUGUUUACAGUUUAA